rnacentral:sRNA from 1 species
GGCCGGCUUCAAGGGCUUGUUCCUGUUGCCAGUAGCAUGGCGGCAAGGGAGGAUUCUAACCGUGCAUUGUGAGAAAAUACCGGGAUCGUCAGUGCUGCCACUCAUGAACUCGGGAAGUUAAGAAGCUUUCAAGCUCCUACGAGGAUCUCUACAAGGAUCUACAAGGAUCUAUGGAGGAUCGAAAUGUGUUGGUCACGUGCCUAUCCUAUCUCAUCCAUGAAUUCACAAAAAAACAUUCGCAAUACCAUCUUCAUAAUGUAAUAAUAACUAUCUCAACUGAUAGUAGAGAGCAUUGUAUUCACCAUCAGAGUUUCUGUGAUCGCACCAAAAAAAGAAAAUGAAGCUAGAUAGAUAAGGAAUUUCAGAAAUAGUUAUAGGAUUUAUGAUGAUUUGACUUGAUAUUUGAGGUGUACCUAACUAGAUGUAAUGAUGUUGAAGAUAGUGAUAUCAUGUUUGUAUGGAGAGGGAGAACGGGGGUCGCCCGUCGGUUGGUUUCUUCAAGAAAGCUGGAGCUGUGUUUUUUUUUUUCCUUCUCGGACAGACAGAUCAGACCCUCUACGAGAUUUUUUGAUGGUCGAGCAACGU